GACGAACGCUGGCGGCGUGGAUUAGGCAUGCAAGUCGAACGGUAUCAUCCUUUCGGGGGUGAGAGAGUGGCGAACUGGUGAGUAACACGUAGGUUAUCUACCCUCAAGACGGGGACAACCCAGGGAAACUUGGGCUAAUACCGGAUGUGAGCAACUUUUAGUUGUUUGAAAGGUGGCGUAAGCUGUCGCUUGGGGAUGAGCCUGCGUCCUAUUAGUUAGUUGGUGAGGUAACGGCUCACCUAGGCAAUGAUAGGUAGGCGGCCUUAACGGGUGGUCGCCCACACUGGGAUUGAGAUACGGCCCAGACUCCUACGGGAGGCAGCAGUCGAGAAUAGUCUACAAUGGUCGGAAGACUGAUAGUGCGACGCCGCGUGAACGAUGAAUCCCUUCGGGUGUAAAGUUCUUUUAUUAUGUGAGCAGUGCUUCUUAUAUUUAACAGUAUGGGGAGAGAGAUAUUAGCAUAUGAAUAAAGACAAGGACCUAAACUCCGUGUCCCGAGCCAGCCGCGGUAAAGGCUUCCG
rnacentral:rRNA from 1 species